rnacentral:pre_miRNA from 1 species
ACAACAUUCGGACCCUCGGUCUACCGAAUAAUACCACUCGCUCGGAGGAAGAUCUUGCCUUUGUCGU